AUUAAAACACCAGUUUCCAUACAAUCAAGGAGGUUAAGCAAUGUUGAGCCUGGUCAGUAGCAAGAUGGGUGACCAUUUGUGAAUACCAAGUGCUGUUAG